CAACCAAUUCAUGCAACCCCUACAUGCUCAUAUGCUAGGUAGUUUAGGUACUCUCCACUCUUGUGUCAUCAAUAACUCAUGUCACUUCACACAAUAUGCUACGGCGCCACUCGGCGUCAAAUGACAACACCUAAAAAGAAUCAAAGGUCCAUGUUACAUACAUUGAAACUACUCAAGGAUUUGGUAGGAGGUCAUACUGUCACCCACCACCACACAUUAUAUGAUCAUGGUGCCUCACGAAGCAAUGUCUCCUCCA
rnacentral:lncRNA from 7 species